AUAGUAGUACAUACCAGUUGUUGUCAAGUGUUAAAUUGAAUACUGAAAAAUGAAAUUGAGUAAAUUACCUCAUGUAAAAGUUUAAGCAUUAAUCUUUGAUAUGUUUACUUUAGGGCCAGUUUUUGCUAAGAGUUUUUAAGUCUUAGACAGAAAUUAAUAUUGUAGAGAAAUUAUAGCAUUAGAAAACUAAAUUUUUUUAUAAUAUGGGACGCAGAAGGGCC
rnacentral:lncRNA from 1 species